UACGGGGGGGGGAAGCGUUGUUCGGAAUUACUGGGCGUAAAGGGCUCGUAGGCGGCCAACUAAGUCGGACGUGAAAUCCCUCAGCUUAACUGGGGAACUGCGUCUGAUACUGGAUGGCUUGGAUUCGGGAGAGGAAUGCGGAAUUCCAGGUGUAGCGGUGAAAUGCGUAGAUAUCUGGAGGAACACCGGUGGCGAAGGCGGCAUUCUGGACCGAUAUUGACGCUGAGGAGCGAAAGCCAGGGGAGCAAACGGG
rnacentral:rRNA from 1 species